rnacentral:rRNA from 1 species
CUACGGGAGGCAGCAGUGGGGAAUAUUGGACAAUGGGCGCAAGCCUGAUCCAGCCAUGCCGCGUGAGUGACGAAGGCCUUAGGGUUGUAAAGCUCUUUUGUCGGGGACGAUAAUGACGGUACCCGAAGAAUAAGCUCCGGCUAACUUCGUGCCAGCAGCCGCGGUAAUACGAAGGGAGCUAGCGUUGUUCGGAAUCACUGGGCGUAAAGCGCACGUAGGCGGAUCUCUAAGUCAGGGGUGAAAUCCCGGGGCUCAACCUCGGAACUGCCUUUGAUACUGGAGAUCUCGAGUCCGGAAGAGGUGAGUGGAAUUCCUAGUGGAGAGGUGAAGUUCGUAGAUAUUAGGAAGAACACCAGUGGCGAAGGCGGCUCACUGGUCCGGUACUGACGCUGAGGUGCGAAAGCGUGGGGAGCAAACAGGAUUAGAUACCCUUGUAGUCC